UCUAUAGUUUUCUAGGGUUCCGCUAUAAUAAUAGGUCUGGUCCAAGAGAAAACAUACAAUGAUUACAUUGUACACACGGACGGAUAAAAGCCUAGGAGAU
rnacentral:sRNA from 23 species